GAUGAACGCUGACAGAAUGCUUAACACAUGCAAGUCUACUUGAAUUUGGGUUUUUUAACUUAGAUUUGGGUGGCGGACGGGUGAGUAACGCGUAAAGAACUUGCCUCACAGCUAGGGACGACAUUUGGAAACGAAUGCUAAUACCUGAUAUUAUGAUUAUAAGGCAUCUUAGAAUUAUGAAAGCUAUAUGCGCUGUGAGAGAGCUUUGCGUCCCAUUAGCUAGUUGGAGAGGUAACGGCUCACCAAGGCGAUGAUGGGUAGCCGGCCUGAGAGGGUGAACGGCCACAAGGGGACUGAGACACGGCCCUUACUCCUACGGGAGGCAGCAGUGGGGAAUAUUGGACAAUGGACCAAGAGUCUGAUCCAGCAAUUCUGUGUGCACGAUGACGUUUUUCGGAAUGUAAAGUGCUUUCAGUUGGGAAGAAAAAAAUGACGGUACCAACAGAAGAAGUGACGGCUAAAUACGUG
rnacentral:rRNA from 1 species